UACGGGGGGAGCAAGCGUUGUUCGGAUUUACUGGGCGUAAAGGGCGCGUAGGCGGCGCAACAAGUCACUUGUGAAAUCUCCGGGCUUAACCCGGAGCGGUCAAGUGAUACUGUCGUGCUAGAGUGCAGAAGGGGCAACUGGAAUUCUCGGUGUAGCGGUGAAAUGCGUAGAUAUCGGGAGGAACACCAAUGGCGAAGGCAGCUCGCUGGGACGGUACUGACGCUGAGACGCGAAAGCGUGGGGAGCAAACAGG
rnacentral:rRNA from 1 species